rnacentral:rRNA from 1 species
GUAGGUGGCAAGCGUUGUCCGGAUUUACUGGGCGUAAAGCGCGCGCAGGCGGCCCGUCAAGUCUAGGGUGAAAUCUCCCGGCUCAACCGGGAGGGGUCUCUGGAGACUGACGGGCUUGAGGGGAGCAGAGGAGAGCGGAAUUCCCGGUGUAGCGGUGAUAUGCGUAGAUAUCGGGAGGAACACCAGUGGCGAAGGCGGCUCUCUGGGCUCUCCCUGACGCUGAGGCGCGAAAGCGUGGGUAGCGAACCGGGAUUAGAUACCCGGGUAGUCCACGCUGUAAACGUUGGGCACUAGGUGUGGGGGGUAUUGACCCCCCCCUCGUGCCGUAGCUAACGCGAUAAGUGCCCCCGCCUGGGGAGUACGGCCGCAAGGCUA